UCUCCGUAGGUGAACCUGCGGAGGGAUCAUUACUGAGUGAGGGCUCACGCCCGACCUCCAACCCUUUUGUGAACCACCUCGUUGCUUCGGGGGCGACCCUGCCGUUUCGACGGCGAGCGCCCCCGAAGGUUUCCAAACACUGCAUCUUUGCGUCGGAGUUUAAAACAAAUUAAACAAAACUUUCAACAACGGAUCUCUUGGUUCUGGCAUCGAUGAAGAACGCAG
rnacentral:misc_RNA from 1 species